GCGGGUGUAGCUCAGUUGGUUAGAGCACUAGAUUGUGGAUCUAGGGGUCGUGGGUUCAAGUCCCAUCACUCGCCCCA
rnacentral:tRNA from 1 species